rnacentral:rRNA from 1 species
UACUAACGUACGANAAGAUAUCGAACCGCAUGGUUCGAUAGUGAAAGAUGGUUUUUGCUAUCACUUAUAGAUGGACCCGCGCCGUAUUAGCUAGUUGGUGAGGUAACGGCUCACCAAGGCAACGAUACGUAGCCGACCUGAGAGGGUGAUCGGCCACACUGGAACUGAGACACGGUCCAGACUCCUACGGGAGGCAGCAGUU